rnacentral:misc_RNA from 1 species
GAUGAAGAACGCAGCGAAAUGCGAUACGUAAUGUGAAUUGCAGAAUUCAGUGAAUCAUCGAAUCUUUGAACGCAUAUUGCGCUCUCUGGUAUUCCGGAGAGCAUGCUUGUUUGAGUAUCAGUAAACACCUCAACUUCCAUAUCUUUUUUGAAAUGGGAGUUGGACUUGAGUGAUCCCAACGCUUUUCCUCACCGAAAAGUGGCGGGUUACUUGAAAUGCAGGUGCAGCUGGACUUUUCUCUGAGCUAUAAGAAUAUCUAUUUAGUCUGCCUAAAAAACAGAUUAUUACCUUUGCUGCAGCUAACAUAAAGGAGAUUAGUUCUUGUGCUGACUGAUGCAGGAUUCACAAAGACGGCUUCGGCCGACUUUGUAAACUCGAUCUCAAAUCAAGUAAGACUACCCGCUGAACUUAAGCAUAUCAAUAAGCGGAGGA